rnacentral:rRNA from 1 species
UGGGCGAAAGCCUGACGCAGCGACGCCGCGUGGGGGAUGAAGCUUCUCGGAGUGUAAACCCCUUUCGACCCGGACGAAUGACCCGCAAGGGUUUGACGGUACGGGUAUAAGAAGCCCCGGCUAACUACGUGCCAGCAGCCGCGGUAAUACGUAGGGGGCCAGCGUUGCUCGGAAUUACUGGGCGUAAAGGGUUCGUAGGUGGUGCGGCAAGUUGGGAGUGAAAUCUCUGGGCUUAACUCAGAGGCUGCUUUCAAAACUGCCGUGCUCGAGUGCGGGAGAGGCCAGUGGAAUUGCAGGUGUAGCGGUGAAAUGCGUAGAUAUCUGCAGGAACACCCGUGGCGAAGGCGGCUGGCUGGACCGCAACUGACACUGAGGAACGAAAGCUAGGGGAGCAAACAGGAUUAGAUACCCUGGUAGUCCUAGCCCUAAACCAUCAGGACUUGGGGUGGCUCGCGUAGGCGAGUCGUCCCGUAGCUAACGCGUUAAGUCCUGCGCCUGGGGAGUAC